rnacentral:misc_RNA from 1 species
UGUGGGAGCUGGCUUGCCUGCGAUGCAGGCAACUAGGUGUAUCAGUCGCACCGAGGUGAUGCCAUCGCAGGCAAGCCAGCUCCCACA